rnacentral:misc_RNA from 1 species
GAUGAAGAACGUAGCGAAAUGCGAUACUUGGUGUGAAUUGCAGAAUCCCGUGAACCAUCGAGUCUUUGAACGCAAGUUGCGCCUCAAGCCAUUAGAUUGAGGGCACGUCUGCCUGGGCGUCACAUAUCGUUGCCUGAUGCCAGUUUCCUCGUGAUGGGUGACUGUGCAGGGCGAAUGAUGGCUUCCCGUGAGCAUUGUUGCCUCAUGGUUGGUUGAAAAUUGAGUCCUUGGUAGGGAGCGCCGUGAUAGAUGGUGGUUGAGUGACGAACGAGACCCAAUCAUGUGAGACCCCUACCGAAUUUGGCCUUCAUGACCCACAUGCGUCUUUGGAACGCUCAUGACGAGACCUCAGGUCAGGCGGGGCUACCCGCUGAGUUUAAGCAUAUCAAUAAGCGGAGGA